GCCGUAAAAUGUAUUAUUUGGCUGUUGAAAUCUGCAGCUAUCACUACAAAAUAUGUGUUAGUGUUGGUGAAAUUCAACAGCCAAAUAAUACAUUUUACGGCAACAUGAUGAAAAUCAGGCGAUGUUGAAAUAUCUCCCGAGACUAAAAUCAUGGCAUUUCUGAUUCACAUUUUCCUAUUCCAGCCCCUUCAACCAUGAAAAACACGAGAACAAUUUCUGUUUUCAGGCUGGACAAUGUUAGAUCAUCACACAGUUACUUCAUAAACAAACCAACUGAACAAGUUUUACCCUAUUGCCUCCAACUGUGACUUGGAUCAUUCAACUCUGCCACCAAUGUUGAGCACUUCGCUUUUCCCUCACUCAUUCUAUGUGAGGGUGUGUUAAUAUCUAAAUGUCUUGUCUCAUCAGUGUGGAUCAGUUUCCGGCAGCAGUGUCAUUUCUGAACUGUUCUACCUGCGGAGGAAGGAGAAGUGCCAGCCUGGUUUUGUAUCUUGCAAUUCGCUUCAACCUUCCUUCCCUUAAACGUGCCCGAACCUUUUUAGCGCGCUUAAUAUGUCUCUUUAAGAGAUCUUGUGCAGAUAAAUGAUCAACAGACUGCUCAUCCUUCUCAUCAUCUUCUACUUCUUCUCCUUCCUUCUUUGGCGAAUGAGUGCCUAAAACAUGCAUAGGUAAAGGUCUUGGAAGAGACUUUACAACAUCCCCAUAGUGUGGCUGACUUUCCUCAUGAAAUCCAUUUCUCAACCAUGAUCGACAAAGUGCAUAAAUAGAAGCCUCAUCUGAUAUUUUUACUUUUCGAUCCCUAAUCACAGUAAGAGUAUCAUCUCUGCUUCUGUCCCUUAAACUUUUAUAGACAUUAGAAUCAGAAACUGGUGAUGGAGAUGAAGCAGCCUUGAGUUGCCCAGCAACCGGAAUUCCCUUAAUCGGAGCCAAUCCGACACCAACGGAACCACUUAAAUAAUGCUGCUGCUGCUGCUGAUGUUGCAAGUGAGUUGGGUGCUGUCUAAUCAUGUGCACGGGAUGAUGAAAAGAAGGAUGAGGAUGUUGCGCCAAUCCAGAAUCCAAAUGAGGAUGAGACCGUGGAGAACCGGUGCCAGCUCCCGAAGCAGACGCGGAACCAGACCCAAUUGGAGUUCUAUAAGCAACUCCAACAGCACGUGGUUGGUACGCGCCAGGGGUAAGGUUUUGGUUAUUAGCCAGGGUAACGGUCUGAUCUAGAGGGCGGAUAGGCCUGGGGAUGAAACCGCGGCCAGAGGAAGCAACUGGGUAGAGAAUCCCCUGUUGUUGCUGAGACGAUGAAAUUGGAUUUGAAAUUUGGGUUUUUGCUUGGGUUUGGGUUUGGGGUCUAAUUUGAAUGUU
rnacentral:misc_RNA from 1 species